GCAAUGCCUCGCCUCAUGCUCUUCUAAACCCUCAGUGGAGCCUUGGGAAAAGUCACUCUUCGGGCACUGGGUGACUGAGCCAGGGUGAGAGGUGCAUGUGCCCAAUCUUUUGGGUCUCGGACACUGCAAGCAUUAGCAGGGAGGAAGUGACACGCAAGGGUGAGUAGGAGGCUGGGUCUGGCGCAGAAGGCCUCUUAGGGUGGUAGAAAGGGGGAAGGCCACUCGCUGAGUACAGGAUAGGAAGUCUGGAGAGUUAACCUUGUAGUUAAGAUUUUGUCACCAGGACCCUGGAGAGUCAUUAAAGGUUUUACCUGAUUUGAUUGGAAGCAAAACCCCAAAAUCAAAGUCGACAGAGGACUGAAGUUGAAGAGAUGGGAGCAACAGCGUCCCAAAGCUGGAGGCUUCCUUGGACCCAGAAGAAAUGUCCUGAGGAAUGGAACAGAAAUAUUUAUACCCAGAAAUUCCUUGUCGGGCCUUCUUCCAAGAAUGCAUGGGGACCUGAAUGCUUGUGUGCAGAGGAAAACUGCAGGCCUUGGAAUGCGCUCUCCGGCAUUGUUCCUUGGCCGACACAGGAAGAUGGGUUUCCUUCAGUUCUGUGAUGCUGACAUCUGAAUCUGGACCCUUGCCCCAGCCUUAACAGCCAGUUGGGGGAGGGAGGCAGAGCACCAGGCGCUCAUGGAAAAUAAACACCCACCUCUGCUGCCUGACUUAGUUCGUGUUCUUAGUAUUUCCUCUCUCAGAGUCCGGCUUUGUUAUUUUAACAUUCCACUCGCUGGUUGAGGUUGGGAAAAUCCC
rnacentral:lncRNA from 1 species